AGUAGCAAGAGGAGAGGAACUCUUUAUUAGUUUACAGAGAAUCAUUAAGCUUGCCAGCCUCUUGUUGGGAACUAAACGGAUUUGACCCCUUGUAGUCACUAAAGAAGAUAAGGUUAGGCCCAGAUGUUAUAGAAUGAAGUAAACACAGAAAUAGGUGUUAAGGGAGUUAAUUAAGUAAGAAAGAAAUAGGUGUUAAGGAAGUAAAGAGUUAACAAUGUAGAAAGAGUUAAGGGAGGUAAGAGAUAGUACUGGCGCAAGAUAGGUAAACGAUUUAAGGAACCGAGAAAAACCCUUAGGACUGAUGGCUCCAUUCUAUAAACGAUGACAUAUUACUUGGUUGUUCCCUUGCUUGGUGAGUCAGAGAUAGAUUCUUUGUUUCACCCUCUGUUUAAACGUAGCCCACUAAGGGAACUGUCACUCGUAUUCUUUACUUAUCCAUCGGUGUUGGUUGUCAACCCAUACCCUAGCCUAGAUCUAAUAGACAGGGAGCGUAAGGAAGCAACAGAAGGUUCAGUUAGGUAUCAAAGAAUAUCAUAUCAGUGAAAAAGCUUCUUUCUGUUCGAAGAAAGUAGAUAGUUGUUUGUCGAAAGGUUAAAGUCCGAUCACCCUGCUUUUAACACCAGAGGCACUUUACUAGCACUAUCAGGGUUGGCAAUUCCAUAAGUCAACUCUAUUCUUUAGUUCAAUACAAACUAGAUGGUUGAUCAAGAGCACGCCGGUUGGUUCUUAGUCUUUCUCCCGGUAGUCCAGUUGCUAUGGUUCUGAUCCGGAUCUAUCAGCUCUCAAUUCUAUUCUUAAAGCAAAGAAAGAAAGGGGACUCGCUCUGUUAGCCGAUGAUGUAACUAUACUUUCUGCCUUAGACACUCGAAUUACACUUUAUAAAGCAUCUGGUCCUAAUCAUGCUUCUUAUCUAUCUUAUAACCCUUAUUGGGCUUCUCAAGUACCCGAACGAACUCUAUUUUCUUUCUGAACCUGAACCCUUGACUAGAUUCUGACUUGGCCACCGAGUCCAAAAUGAAUUGAUUAUCUUGUGCACCAACUAGCUUAGUAGAAUUAAGCCGUUGCGCGUUAGUGAGCUCAGGUAAAGAAACCAAAGGCAAUACCCACCAUACCUUUAAGAUUCCCUGAGAACUAUGACUUUAUUAUUCUGAACCGAUUGAUUCCACUCUCACUGCGGAUUCCGGCAAAGGCACGGCUACUUAUCUCUAUGACUUAACCGAGCACUGAUUCACUUGCGGAACAGCUUACCACUUCUACCGCUACAUGGGCAUGAGAUCCUGAUCCUGACUCAGCUUCAAAGCAAGUACUUCUGCCCGAACAAGACUUUAAGACGAAACAAGAGAUGAAACUCAAACUGGUCAUUCUGUGGCUUCUGAUCUUGAAACAGAAACGGAUCUUAUAGAUUCAAGUGGUCGGGUUCUCAUCCUUAGAAAAUGGUAAAGAGGAUUGGAUAUCCCGGAGAGCGUUCCUAUUGGGUUUUGCCCUCCGCUCGAGCUCAACCUUUGGUCAUCCAAUAUGAAAAGGAAGGAUUGCUAGUACUAUGGGUAAGCUAUUCUAUAUGGACAAGCAGACUUCUACCAAAUCCCGUCUCGUGUUUGAUAGGGUCUGUAUUUCUUUAAAUAAAGCUCUCCCUUAUAAAAAGGUUUGGAUCGACAUCGGAUCUUGAGGAACAAUGUGUCCAAUACGAAUAAAUGGAUUCCUCUUUGCAUGUACUAAUUGCAAGGCCACGGGUCAUAAAGCGGAACUCCAUACAGUGAAAGUGACUCCUCCUUUGGUGCCCAAGGAUUCUGCACAAUCUGGAAUAUCGACUUAAUGCCUCUGAGAACUGUAAAGCUACCUCCACACGGGUUCUUAGGCCGCGCCCAAUCCGGAGCCAACUAACCUUGAACUUAGGUUUAGGCUUUCUUUCACACCAGCAUUAACCAGAGCUUGGAGCGAUUCCUACUGGUGAUGUAUGCCAGAUUGGAGCCGAGCAAGCAUCAAAACGUCAAGAAAGAGCGCUAAGCUGUUUUUCUUUGAUGCUGUAGUUGGGCACUUUCCUAUUUUCUUUGAUGCCCACUUUCGCUAACCUGUAUUUAAAAGAUGCUGUUGUUUGCUAGUUCCAUCAUUUAAGAUAGAUGCUUUUUGCUAGUUCUAUCAUUUAAGAUACAAUUUGACGGGUACCUAAAGAAAGGUCCGUAAGUCGCAGCAGUUGCUUAAGAUCUUUGCCCUCUUGUGUUCACUAGCCCCCAAAACUAGCUAACGGAGCCCUAUCUUCUUAUCAAGUGUUCACUAGCCCCUAUAAUUGUAAGGAAAUUUAGAACUCGCGGAAGCUUAUUUACUUGUGCGCCGGGCAGCUUACUUGACUUUUCUAUUGCCGACCUAUAAUGCGUUAGCUUUCUUGAGCAGGUGCUAAGCCGUAGUGCGUUAGCUUUCUUGAGCGGAUGCAUUAGUUAGUUUACAUUCUCUUGGCUCUGCUCCACCAAACGGAACUGCUUGUUGAAACCUCACAGCUUAUAGCUAUUACCCCACUACACUACCGAUUAAGAAAGGACUUGCACACUUAGGAAUUCUGCCGAAACUGGAAUGAAAGAAUGCAACGGGCCCUAUUAAGUCAGUAGGAAACCCUACAUUGAACUCACUUUGUCAGGGCAAGAAGGCAGACUCAUAUAACUAAGGCAACUAUACCUAUGGCGACGAGAACUAUCCGAUUCUCCUGCCCGUGGUCAACUAAUUGGAUUCUGCAGUUGUUUUCGCUUGGCCUCAGUACUGAACUUUGUAGUUAUCCUCUAGUCUAGUUGCUUGUUUGCUCUUGUAAUUGCAGAAUGUAGUUUCCGUUUGAAAGUAAUAAUAGCUAUAGUAGAAGCAGGCCAUAAUACAUAAUUGCAAGCGCAUAUCUAAUAUCUGAAUUCUUCUGAAGCACUAACUGAGCUGACAAGUAGUCCAUUUGGAGAGUUGGUAUCAGUUCAAUGAAUAAGGGAUGCGGAAGACCACUCCCUUUGUUUUAGUUGAAGACCUGAGAAGAAGACCUCAUAGUUAAUAGAGUUUUAUAUCUGAGUAGAAGCCCACUAUGAACAAGUCCUGUGAACUUAUAUAUCUGCGACUUAACGAGCACUUAAAUAGAUUCCAAGAAGGAAACCACAGAGAGCUGCAACACACGCAACAGCACACAGAAAAAGAGCAGCACACAGAGAAAAAAGAACAGACAAAGGGAAGAAAGAAAAGAAGUCAACUAGUGAGUUAAUCCGGAGUUAACCUGCUUUUUUGUACUGUAUUCGCAAGUAAUGAGCUCAAUCAAAUAUGUUAUAUAAUUUGUUAUUACCUUUACUACUCUACUGGUUGGGCAAGGAAGCAAUAAGUAAGGAAUAAAUCUCGUCUCUCUCUUUGGGUGCUCUGAACCAACCUAAGUGCUCUCUCAGGCAGGAAAUACAGAACUCAACUCUAUAGAAAGUCAGAAUUCCACAAUAAACUCAGUAUCCGCGGAGGCAACUGGUAGAUCAGCAACAGCAAGGUUCUCUAGUCCAGUAGCCAAAAUACAGGACUUAUGAAAAACUCUUAGUUCUUGGCUCUUCAAGUCUUGACUGCGCUGUUAAGGGUAAUGUAUAAACCAGAGGUAAAGUCGUCAACUACAACUGAUUGUUCUGCUCUAGCUCCUUGUCUUUCUCGGGUACGAUAAAGUGUCCUAUAGUGCAUUAAGUAUGAAGUAAUCGAAUUUGUAACUACAGCGCCUAGCCCUUUCACCUGACAUCCGGCUGCUGAUCUCGUAGACAAGAAUGUAGACUUUGACAUUGCCUUCUUAUACUGAUUCAUAUGAUGAUCUAGCUCCUGCGCUGAUGCUUUAAUAGAAAUAUAUGACGAUACAAGCGCCUUAGCGAUCACACUUCUUGUCCCGACAAUAACACCUCUUGUCCCGCAUCAGGUCAAUCUGGUGUGAAAGCCCUCUUCCUCUUUAUCUAAGUUGAACUCCUCCCCUGUUUAACAGAGCUAAUGAGAAAUCCAUCAUGAAAAUACUCUAUCGGCUGUUGAAAUGCUUUGUAGCCCUGUCAUCUUUACCCCUCUGGACUGUACCGUAGGGAAGCUUUGUAUUGACUUCUUUUUAUCUAUACAAGGUGCUCGAUAUGUUUUAUUUGAAUUCAUUGAUUUGACUGUUGCGUGUAAGCUUAUUGACCCACUACUACAUGAGGAUAGUUUGUUUGCCGGAGCAAGACGUUCUUCCAGAGGAGAGGCCUUGAAGCUAUAAGUCAAGAAGUGCAGAAUUGCACUCAGUAGUGGUAGAUGAGACAGAGGCAUGGGGUUCAGCGAGGGAUGAAACUAGAAGUCGCUUUGCAGUUGCCCUUAUAUUAAGUCGUUAGGAGUUGAGUUAUUGGCGUUAAAGCCUUAGUAGUGGUCGUGGUCCUGUUUCAUCAGUAUUAGUUGACUUCGGAUCAAGACUAAGUGCUAAUGCUUACUUAUUGGGGCAAUCUGAUAGACUCACUUCUUUUCCUGCACAGGAAUGCUAUGCUUCUGGUUCUGCCCUCGAAAGGAUCUUUAUUUGUUUACUUUACUUCAUACUAAACAGCUUAAGCUAGUGCGAUGCGAGUGUUGUCUACUUGUUGCGGUAAUAGAAUCAGGGGGAAUGCUAUCAAGGUAUAAAGCUGGGGCUGGGUAAAGGGAAAGGGGGAUGAAACUCGUACACAGGGAGCUCAUCGACACAAUGACUUCUACGCGUUAAGCUCUAGCGGCAGAUUUCUUUAGAACGGCUUCUGACCGAGGAGACCCCCUUUCAUCGUUUGAUCGUUAUCGAGCUAAUUCAUCUGUUUUCGUCGCCUACUUGUUGAAUAGAUUCAUAAAUCUGUCUGAGCUGAGGUAAGUCUCUACGCUCGAAAGGAGGUAUCUUCUCGAGUCGUUAGUCGGGCAUACUGUCUUAGGAAAGUAGCUCCUUUGGAGAGCCAUCUUUCCGAGUCGGGAGUUAGGGGGCUUGAAGCACCUUUCUUCUCUGUCCUCUCGGGUAUUAGUGUUUCUGCUGUUGGGUACUGUUUGAGGUAAAGGGGGGCGUAGGGUCCUGUUUACCAAGUGGGUUGUCCAAUCUUGUUGUAGCUUGCUGUGCCAUGAGUGAGUUUGCUACAGAGUCGUAAUUCUCUCUUUUUGAAUAGCUGUAUUUGACUAAGCUAAGAACAAAUCUCCCCGGAAAGCGUAUACUAGGAGCCGGAGCAGAGCCAGCUGCUUGUUUCAAGAAGUAUUAGUGGACAGAGCCCGAGGUUCCUUAAUUCAGUAUCUAGUGGGCAUUCGAACAGUAUUGCAAAGUGGUUGGGUUGGUAGCUUGUUGGAUUAAGGGUCUGUCUCUACUUUCCUCUGCGCAACAAGACGUCGUGCAUCAGUGAGGCAUAGCCUACUUAUCUUUUUUAUACGAAAGAAGUCCAGCACCCAACCCAUACUCUAGCUCAAGCCAUCACUUCUAAAGCUAUAAGAAAGAACUAUCUAAAGCUAUAGGCGAAAGACAACUCUACCACUUAUAGAAGUACAGGUACCGCUACGUGGGAUAAUAGGUAAUGUAGGCAUCCGCACUAAUUUGCAUUCUAUAUACGAGACUUUCUUCUUUCCCGGAACCCGCACCAUAAGAUAGAUGAAACUACAAACCACUUUCUGCUUUCCAUGAACCCGGGCACCAUAAGAUGGAUGGAUGAAACUAAUAACCACUUGACCUUAACCCUUAGCCUUUCCUGUACAAGAGCAAGAAGACCACUUUCAAUAUACGAUUCAAAAAGCACUUAACCCUGUACAAUAGCAAUCGGUACCCUAAAAGCACUGAACUCUGUACAAUAGCAAUCGGUACCCUAAGAAAAUAUGAAUCUAGUACGUACUUAUUGCCUUAAGCACACCUCACUAUAACUUUCCUUAAGCUAUAUAGAUAUAUAAUUAUUCAUGAAAAGAAGAGGCCAUAUCAGUAUAGUAAGUUCACUGGCCCUUACUCCAAUUCUUCUGUAUCAUUCAUUUCGAUUCCAAGUCUAAAGUAACGUAUAAAUCAAACCCGGGAAACUAGCUAACGUAUUUGUUCUAGCAUUGUUGAGUUGAGUUCACUCAUAUCGGCACUGUUAUAGAAGAGAGAUUUUGUGCUUCCCUUAUAAUGACUAGAUUUUCUUUGCUUCCCUUAAUUACUUAUAUCGGCACACUGUUAUAGAGGAGAGAUUCUGUGCUUCUCAAUUGCUGUAGGUAGAGCUUCACUCUUAUACGGGUUUUCUAGUAGCCGCAUUGUGGUCGGGGGACAGUGUCUUGUCGGGUUCAAUGAAUUGGAGUGAAAAGAGACUAGGCUGUUCGCGAGGUCUGUUAUUCUUCUUAUUCUUAAACAGAAACUUACACUUACUAUAAGGGAAGGGCAGGACUACCACUUUCUACUGGCUCCAUUAGUAGCAAUAGGAGUUAUCGGCUUUCCCGAGUAUACGAGCUGGGGCAAUCAUCCAGUCUCCUAUAAUAGAAUAUAAUAAGAAGAGCUAUUUAUAAGGGCUUUCCUACCAAGCAACCACAAAAUUCCGUAUGUCUCUUUAUAUAGGAGAGGCGGGAUCCAAGGUUAUGUCGCAUUCCUAACAAUCAUCCUGCCAGCUAUAGCAACGACCCAGCUUGGGGGAGCAGAGGAGACCCAUCACAAAAGGGCUAGACGAUCGAAACUAUUGAGAUGAACCCAUUUUAUAUACGACUCAAGCUCUUGGUCCGUUUCCGUUUCUGAAUGAGUUGCUGAAAAGGAAGUUUGAGUAUGAAGGUAAGAAUCAUAGGCUUGAGCUAGGCAUGCUCGAUCUAGAUAACACUUCGUGCUCCUUCCUUUGAUAAUUGAGUGGCAGAGGUACAGAAAGAAAUUGAGUCUCUUGGGCACCUUAGCCAGGUAUAUAAAGAUGUAAAGAGACUGCUUCCCCAUCUUAUGAAUCUGAUACAAACUUAUGAUCUUGUUCCUACUCGUACUUCCUCACCUGCUUACGCGCAAGGAAAGUCUAUCAAAGCAGUAAUAGUGGAAUGGAAUAGCAAGUUUCCGUUUUGAAUUGCAGAAUGGAAUGUUGAAUCAAAGGUGAAAGUAAGCGGGAAAGGAAUCAAGAAAGAAUGCUUUGGAAGGCUUGAAUGCCCGGCUAGCAACUAGGAAAGUCACUACUGGACAAGCAACGAAGCGGGGCCAAGAAACUAGGCGCCAAGUCACUAGGCCCAGUGUUGUCUACGAUAGAAGCAGUUAGCAGAUCAUAAGCUUUUCGAUAAUCCGCAACAGAACUCGCAAGGUAACCAUCAACUUCUGUCCUGGAAUCAAUUGAUGUUCUUGAAAAGUAGGUGUUUGGCAGAGGUGUCAAGGCCUUAUUAGAGAAAUCCAGCGUUCAAGCGGAGAAGCUAUGCGAGUGAAGUCAACGAUAUUAGAAAAGCGGGAUAAGAAUCAUAAGUAGUGCGCAAGUAAUGAAAGUCUGCAGUUAGAGCGGAUUCAUAAGUGAUAGGUGUGGAGCAGGAUCAAAAGAAGGAAAGUAGACAUCGACAAGAGAAUCAUCAUAAUAAGAUAAGGGAGAACCCAGAUAUAGAAGAACUUGGCUAUACAGAACCAGAACUUCUAGUUAAUAAGUUUUCCUCCGCGUGUAAGGGAACAGAGUUGAUAGGUGCAUUUUCAAUAGUUAGAUAUAUGGCAUCAGUUCAUAAAUAUCUCUUUGAUUGAGUUGCGCUAGUAGAAAGAAAGUCAAGGGCUUACAGUAGCUGAGUUCCAGAAGCCGAAUCUCAUGCCUAUAAGAUGGAAUAGAAGCAGAAUGAAAGAGAGCGGUGCUGGCGACGAGAGAGAAUCCGCGGGAUCAGUAUCUGCUGCAGUGAGAGUUGAGAUCGGAAAGAGAGAUUCUUGUUUCAAGAGAAGAACAUGAAGAAGGAGGAUAUCACUUCCAUGUGGGUGUUCUGUUGGGUAUCGGUAUCCUUUCUAAAAGAGCCCCCAAGCUUUUUCGUGAGAUCUUUCCUGAAUUUUAGGGUGCGCAGUUACAUGUUUCCUUUCAUAAGUCAUGGGUAACUGUGUGUAAAUAUCUUUUGAAAGAAGAUGCUGAUCCGUUCUUCUGGGGCAAUGGAGAUCUGCUCACAGUUCAGAAUGAAAUUCAGGCCUGCACGAAUCAUACUAGGAAGCCAGUCAGUAACAUGGAGAUUAUCGACAAACUUCAGAACUUAGAUGAGUGGGAACAUGUCUAUAAAGAUCCGGAUCUAUUGAACAUGAUUUUCCGUUCGUACAAUACCCUUAGAUCAGUUUACGAGGAUAUGCGCCUGAUAAAAGACAGUGAAAGUUCGCUGCACACUCGCUUCAUAAAAUCUCUUUCCGAUCGUGGUCAGCCCGCCGAAUAUACAAUUCCGUAUCUGAAAGAAAAAGACUAUUUACUUGAUUGGAUCGCCGUGAAUGUUCUAUUUCAUCGUCCAAUUAAGACCAAGCAAUUGCGGAUUUAUGGGGUUCCUAGCACGCAAAAAACUCUUCUUUUCGAAAUGCUAAACUCCGUGCUUAAUAUCUACCAUGCAACUACUAGAAAGAACGAUAUUACUGGUGCCCACGACUAUUACGAUUUGUGGUUGUUUGAUGAAUUCCAUGUGGUGGAAGAUGCUAAUCUGAGUUCCGGAAUCAGCCAGGCGAUUAUGGCAUCGACAAACAACACAUUGCUUCGAGUUUUAGAUGGUCAGCAAUGCCGUUUGGAUGCAAAAUAUGGUAAGCUCUUCAACCAAAAAAGAAAUGUGCCCACAGUAAUGAUAACAAAUUCUCCAUCUCGAAGUCUUAGGCAGCGAGGCCCCUUCCAUGAAAGGCUUAUGAGGCUUAAGUUGAAGAAUCAUAUUUAGGAUCUUAAAGAGGAAAGAGUUAUUGCAACCUUAUAUGGCUGCUUUACUCGAAGGCUUUUGCAGAAAACAAUGUUGUGGGAAAACGGCUUUCUGCUUCCACUGAAGUAUAACGAAGAAAUAGGUUCUAUCACGCUGUUCCCUAGUCUGAAAAACCCUUCUGAAGAUAUCAGUUACGAAGACCGUUUUAUACAGGACCCCCGCGUCUGCGAGUCUUUAUUGCAAGAAGGGGACACUGGCAACAUCCUAACUCGUAGUGGUCAUCGCUUGGACAUAGUGGUUUCUUCCAAUUUACGAGGUGUUGCGAAGUCGUAUGAGGAAUUCCUUCAUUUGAAAGGUGUGAUGAACACGUUCAGUCUGCAGUCAAGGACAAGAAAGAGCCCCACGGACGUGCUCUCCAAGGAUGAGGUCUUCUCUCUGCUGGAGUUCGUGUUCAUUCCUUUAGCCCCUCAGUCAGAUCCUUUGCAACAACAUCGGGGUAAACCCGUAAUGUGGAAGCAGUUCAAGACGCUAAAUAGCGAAAGUCGUGCUUUCAACGUUGGCAUUUUUGGUUAGAACACUGAGUCAAAGAAUUCUCCAUGGCACCGCAUCGCGGAUCCAUUGCAAAGCGAGUUCGAUGAAUUAGGCGCUGAUAGCUCAUUAGCUUAUUAUGCUUCGUGGCCGCUUCAAAUGUAUAUAAAGGGGUUUGACAUGUCCUGCAGCUUAGGUGUUACCUAUACAUAUGAUGACAAUACUCUUGAUAGAGCACCUUCGAAUCCGCAUACGGUGGGUUGCGUUCCUCCCAACACUCAUAUUUUCCAAGGCACCGUUACCUUGAAAGUCAAUGGUGGAACCUACCGUGCUACUCAGUGGAAAAGAAAUGGGGAUGUUCUGAGUGUUAGUUCUUCUCGUGAAGGUUGGAUGACUGAAUCUGACGACUAAUUCUUCUUAUUUCAUUUCCGUUUCUUUGUCCGUAACCUCUUUGUCCGGAACCAAGUGUAUCUCCGGAGGCUUUAUCCGGAACCAAGUGUAUCUCCGGAGGCUUUAUCCGGAACCAAGUGUAUCUCCGGCUUGUGUCCGGCCCCUAAUCAAUCAAUGCCUCUUCCCUACCCAAUGCUUCUUCCCUAACUAGGACUCACUGUGCUUAAUUGUGUAGGUUCCCGGUGAAUAAUUUGAGAAGAAAUGCAAAAAAAGUAGAAAAGUCAGAAUCUACAAAAAGGUGUAGAUAGGUACGAAUAACAGGCGGGGGGCAAAGAACGAUAUUUAACAAGAUGGAAUGCCUGGCCAAGAGCUACUGUUUGUAGAAUGAAAUGUAGUAGAGACAUACUCAGAGUUCGGAGCAAGGGACUUGGAGACAGGAGAAUUACAGAAGUAAGGGAAAGGAUGAGAAGCAAGGUAGUGCGUACGAGACCAUUGCUAUUAGGUAUGAGACCGGACAAGCUAUAGCGUAUAUAAAGGAGUCUUUCCUAUCAUCCCCUCUUUCCGUGUCCUUGUAUUUGGCGAAUCCUCGAGAUACCUGCGCAGAUGUUUUAAUUGGAAAUAAGAAUAAACGGAUAGAGAUGCUUUUCCUAGUGAAAGGUGCCUUUGGAUUCGAAAGGACUUGCAAACUUAGCUCUUUUUCUGGGCUUGGCUAUAUUUUCGCUGGGCUGGAAUGGAAUGUGGGUCUUCACAAACAGGGGAUUCCUUCCUAAAGAAGUUCUGCCGACGGUGUUGUUGAGGAGAUGAGAUUACGAGGUGAAGGAGCUGGGUUAGGAGCUGGCAGAGAAAUCAAACCUGAUCCAUAAGAAUGUCCAAAGGAGGACCGCUGGACGGAAGGAGGUAUUGGUCAAUCUCUUUCUACUCUUGGGUCGUCAUCAAAGAGGUUUACGUUGGUCGUCAUCAAAGAGGUUUACGUUGGUCAUCAUCAAAGAAGUUUACGUCCGGGGUCCCUUUCAAACCGGUGAAGUCCACCCGAGAACACCAACAUUCCUAGUUGUAUCAUUGAGUGGAGUUUAGUCAUUUUACGUUUAGUCAUUUGACUUAUUAUUUGAUUGGCGAUUACUGACUAAUUGGCUGACUGAUCAAGGAACAACAAACAGAACAUGCCAUGCUAUGAAGGAGAUCGCUUCUAUGAUCGAUGUAUGACCAGAAAAACUCAUGCAAAUGCACUUUGACCCUGCCUAUGGGAGUUCCUAAACUGGAGUUCCGAAACGGGCAUUCUAUGAACGGGUAUCCAGCUGUAAAAGUUUCCUCGUCUAGUAUCUAGUCUCAUACCUCUUGUGAUGGUGCUACAUCCCGCAUUGACUUUCCUUUUACCUCUACUUAGCCUUAGGGAAGGAUCUCUUUUGUGUUCACAUCCUAGUUUUCCCACAUACGUUUUGCAAAGUUUUCCUAAUAGCAUUCGACGAAAGGGCAACUCUUGCGGGUAUUUGGAGGGUAUUCUAUGGAAAAAGCAUAAUAAGCCAACGGGGUCUUAGGACAAAAGACAUCGGUGACUGAGAUACCUACAUUGAUGAAUCGAACCUAUAGCAAUGCCGCUCCCCUUGCCAAUCUGCUCUUUGCUAGUCCGCUAACCAAGAAUCAAAGGCUUUUAGCAUCCCUUAUGAGAUUGGUUUGACCUCCCGCUAGAUCGAUAGAAAAGAAUAAUUGGACUUGGCUGAGCUGGGGAAAUGAAGGGGAAUAUCUUAUCACUGGCUGAGCUGAGGAAAUGAAGGGGAAUAUCUUAUCACUCCAACGGAAACGAAAUCUCUAGAGAAAGCAUAAGGAAUUAGAUUCGCAAUAGCAGCGGCUAUCCCACCAACUUAUAAGAAAAGGGUGUAAACAGGACCUUAGUUGAUAGUGGAAUUCUUCUGGGAUUGUUUAUAGUUCAAUUAUGACUGUAAGAGUGGAAUUCUUCUGGGAUUGUUUAUAGUUCAAUUAUGACUUUAGUAAGCUAUGUUGGUUGGUGUUAAAGCCCUUAGUUAGGAGAUUGGAAGUAGUAAAGCAGUGCUUGUGGGGUUAGACUUGCCCUCUGCUCUGAGAUGGCGAUAAUUGUGGAGUUUAGUAAAGGCAUGUGGCGAUAAUUGUGGAGUUUAGUAAAGGCAUGGCUUAAGCUAACUCGAUUCGGUCUCGGUAUUUGAAUUAGGUAAAAGAAAGAGGAAUAGGAUCUCUAAAAGAAAGAGGAAGAGGAUCUCAUCGUUAAUAUGUAUCGGUAAAGCUUCUCGACCCCUACAAUGGAUGUCAUCGCUAACAAGCUAUCUGGAUACCUAAAUAUGUAAACCAAUCAGAACCAUACCCACGAGAGUACAGUUCAAUGAUUUGAAUCACUUUAGGGUCGCUAGUGUCCUUUGUCUUCUUUCAAAGAGCAGAUACGAGUACUCAAGCAGCGGCUUGCAAGACUAACAGGGGCAAGAGCCAGUGAUGGCCUAUUUUCCUUUAUCUCUACGCCGAACUGAAGCCUAGUAGGACUUAACUACCUUGAUCUGAAUCUCAGGAACUCAAAUAAUACCAAGGCAAGUCCACUCUCAAUUAAGCAUAAGCUUGGGAUCUUUCUUUCUUUUAAGAAAGCAUUUCCCUUGAAGCCAGGUCUUUCUUCUCUUUUCGGAGCUGGACUUAUUCUUCCUGGUCUUUCUUCUCUUUUCGGAGCUGGACUUAUUCUUCCUGACUGACUCGAUUCACAGUUUCUUCACACUAAGCCGGAGCCAACCCAGGGUGAGAGAGAUAGUAGAGUAGGGACGGGGAAGCAAUGUCACCAAUGGAACUAGCUAUCUGGGAUCUGUUAAUAAAAAGAUAGAGAUGCUCUUCUAGCGGUCCAAGAGCUUCUUCCUUCCUUGAGCUGGCAAUGACUUUAUUCUACCCUGAAAUCGUAGUCAGCCGGUAUAAAGACAUUCAUAUAUUCCCCAGGCACGGGAUAAAGGGAAAGAUAGAGCCGAGAGCCGGGAACGCAAGAAACUUCAUUUCUCUCGAGCGGGAAUCUUCUGAUUUAUAAUACUACCGAGACUACCAAAGCAAAUGCGACUUCUUUCCCCUCUGCUGCAACUGAAAGAUCAAAGACCGAUGACCUUAUUUCCUUCACUCAAUAACAGAACUAAAGGAAUGGAAAGAAAGAUGAACAAACGAAACAACGAAUUUCUCCGGUUUGCCAAUAAUUGCAUUUGAUAAUUGCUCAUAGGUUCAAUUGCCGGGCAAGGUAAAGUGAUGUUUAUUCAUAAGAAUUCUUAGACUCUUGGGGCAAUUUCCGUUCGUAGUUUCCUAGAAGCAAAAUUCUAUAAAGUGACCGGCUCUCGGUUAUCAACAUUUGGAACUACAGGGUUAGCCGGGUUAUCCACAUUCGUCAGGGGUUUACUAAUUGAUCGUUCGGUUAGUUGGUCGGAGAUCCCUUUUCACAAUGUUUGAAUUGUCUCGAGAAGAAUGAGUUGGUUAUCCAGUUCCGGCUUGCGGAUUGAGCUACGUUUGUUUCUUUUAUGAAGCGAGCAGGGAAGCGAAAGGUUUAGAGGAAGCAGCGAGCAGGGAAGCGAAAGGUUUAGAGGAAGCAAAGGGCGGGUGUCCACUUGCUUAGUCGGAAGUGUUUCAACCCAAUAGCAUGGGGUUACUUGGGCUUCAACAUAUGAUUUAUCUGGACGAGGCACAUCUUGGUAGAUGGUGGUGGAGGUUUCUCAAUGAAUCUCAACGCCUCUGAAUCUCAAUCUUCAAGGAGAAAGAAGGGUUGGUUGUCGGGUAACAUUUUUCUACUUGGGGUUUAUGGGCAGCUGGGUCUAACCUUAGGAGGGCAGUUUCUUAAAGGUUUCUAAAGAAGGUUAGGUGGUGGGUGAUGGGAAGUCUACCUUAUUCUGGCUGGACUUAUGGAGCGGCACAACUAGCAACCCGUUUCGCCAACCAGAGGUCCGAUGACCCAACCCCUUCCUUCUACGCUGUGCUGGGCGGUCCCCAAGACUUACUCUGAAUGGCAGGUUUCUCAAUGCGGGAUGUAACUGAUAGGAUGGGUUGGACGGCCUCUUCUCCUUCAGCUCUAUGAGAGAUGGCAGGAUAACGAGCGAAUCUAUCCGCUUGGGAUGGGCAGCUUAGCCAGCUCCAACAAAUGAUGGACCAAGUGAGGGAAGGCUUUCUACCUCGGGCCCUCUCCAGCCUGGGGUGGGUUUAUUACACGAACAGAAAAGGGAUGAAUCCAAGCAAGCAGGAUACAAACCUUGGAAUCCUGAGACUACUCGACGGGCAGGUGCAAUGGAAAGCGAAAGCGGCUCUGCUUAGAAAAAAGCAUUUCCCUUUAUCCUACUUCGGAAAUAGAAGAAUCCAAAGUCGGUUAAGGUGCUCUUACACCAACUGACAGAGAAAUAAAGGCAUUGCCACUUAGUAACAUGACUCCUUUACGUACGGAAUUCCCUACAAGACUCCCAAGAAUGGCAGCAAUACUUACGGAAUAGCAAUAGCAAGCAAUAAACAAGAAAUAAUAAAGAACAUAAAAAGAAGGCUGGACUGGACUGACUCGUUCUAGCGGAUAUGUCUUUGUCGCAGCCAGCGGAAGAUGUAUUCCUUAUAUUAGACUAUGACUAUCGGGAUUGUUACCAUCCUAUGAGAUUGGACGAUAGGGAUUUGUCCCAGCACUCUCACAGGCCAACUCGGAAAAAGCUUUAAGAUAGGCAACGUAGCGGGCAGCCUCAAACGAGAAACCAGUCCAAUCUAUUACAUACGAUCACUGAUCGAAUCGGGAAUCGGGGCCUUCUCAUACUCCUCCAAGUCAGCAACGGGCACAUAGGGUCAAAGUUUCAUAGUCAUUAGUUGGAACCCCCUUCUCUGUACACACCUAUAUGGCAGACUGCAAGCACAGAAGCUAAGGGAACGAUUGAUUUUAGGGGGUUGAUCAGAUUGCCCGAGUUGCCAGAGGUUAAGAAGCUGCUUUCUUUCAUUCGACAAUAGGAAGCAUCGCUUCUUUCAUUCGACAAUAGGAAGCAUCGCUUCUUUCAUUCGACAAUAGGAAGCAUCGGGGAGGAUGGAACGGAACUCUACUUUACAUAAGCUAUUUAGAGCGAUCCCCGUAGAUUAGAUACAACAGGGAAAUUGCAAGGAAAGAGCUGUACUUUGUUUGCUACAGACAUACGAGCUUGACUUUACUACAGACAUACGAGCUUGACUUGACUACAGACAUACCAGGGAGACUCUUACUUACUACUAGCUACUCUUACUUACUACUAGCUGUAUGGAUACCGUAGGCCUCACAUUCUAUUAGGGCAGGUCUAAAGUCACUCUAAAGAAAGGAGAGGAAGGGACCGAUACUACAAUAAUAAAUGGACUGCUCGGCGCAUUGAUUGUUUAUCCCUGGGAAUCCAAGAGAGUAACAAAAGAAAUCAAGUCUAUGAUAAGAACAAGAUUUUGGUAGAUACUAAACCUCUAAGGAUGUAUAAAUCGGAUUGGUAUUCAAAGGGAUGCUAGUGAGUAAGAAAAAGUCGUAUUUAUAUAGACCAAUAGAUUAAGUGGGGACUGUGUGAUGAGAGCUUUAAAGAAAGCCAGUCGUGGUAGAUAGGUAGGAUUGAACCCUUUUCUUUCGUUAGCGAAUUUCCUUCUUCGAUUUGUUCUUGCCAUUGAGAAUAUAAAACAAGUGUUUGAAACCAUUAAGUCAGAGUACUUCACACUUUUCUUCAUUCCAGCUUGAGUCCUCUUUUCCUUUUCCUGUUAACGUUUCCAGUAGCUCGGUUCAAGAAGUAUGGAAAGAUUUCUUUCUGUGAGGUCAUAUCAUAUAUGAAUUGGAAUAAGCAUAAAGAAGAAAAGCACCUUACUGGAUCUAGCACUUAUUACUUGCUUGCUCACCAGGACAGGGUCAUUCGCGGGUGCGUUUUUGGGCUUACAGGAUUAGUUGCUUCAAAUGGAACUACAGGCUAUCCUUUUCCUUACUAAUACAGCGGGACUCCAGAUUCUCACUUGCUUGCUGGGCACAGGUAACUUCCUGACUUUGGAUUCUUUCUGGAGUAAGGGGAGUCUGCCGCUCAUACAACCAAUUGGGCUAGAUCGAGCAUGCGACGCGAGCGGGUCCUCUUCACCAUUUGGCUUUUAUAGCGGGGCCUUCUACCCGAUAUGAGAUAGGUUGCUGCUAUAGUAGGAAUUCCAAACUGUUACCACUCGUCAUGCCUCCAUCGUCUUAUAGUACUUGCUAACAAAGAACAUGAACAUUUGCUUUAUGGAUACAUUUUCUUCCCAUCUUCCAAGAAAAUCAAAGCCGCUUUUGGGUACAUUGAUCCAAAAGUAUCUCACGACGAUUUAUAGCGAGCGAUACCUUAACUUACAAGCCGGCUUAAAGGUAGGUGCCUUCUCAGCUACUUAUGUAAUCUCAUCCUAUGUUAUGUAUGAGGUGAUUGAUCCAUAUGGUUCUAUCCCAAGGUUCAACAAGUUAUUAGCUAUGAUAGGGUCUUUUAGAGUGGGAAAGCGUUUUUUGCCUCUCUCAUAGCACCACACGAGUACUCCUAUUCUGUCCAGGCAGCAGAACAACGUGAGAUCAAAGGUAAGCAGGAAGAACGGCGGAGCCAGAAACCUACCCGCUUCUUUUCUGCUAUAGGAAAGCCUCCAUCAUCAUAUUAUUCAUUCAUGUUCGAUUCUUCAAGACGUUAUUUUAUUGGGUCUUGCAAUGGUGGCUCUGGGAGCAUAUCGAUGUUGGGCGUCCUCGUCGAGCAGAGGUUGAUCAUCGCGUCUUUCCGCGUUAAGACUAUGACUUUUGGAGACUAGGACUCGGGUUGAGUCGAAGUUGAUUAAGAGCUUUACCCACGGAGCAGUUAAGUGAGAAUUGGGAGCAUACCCCACAGGGCAGAAGUGGAUUGAAUGGGACAGUAAUUAAACAAACAAGCAAUGUCGAUCACAUCAUCGGUUAUGAGUCAAAGGACUAUCAUCGUCCUGAAAGAGCCAUUUGAUUAAAGAGGUCAGAGAAGUUAAGCGACACAAUAGUGGAUCAGAGAAGAUAAGUAGGGUCUGGUCUGUUCUUCCCCCUCAUCUGGAUGUUCAAAUCGGGAUUUCAUAAACCAACAGCCAUAUCCACUUGAACCCCAAUCCAACUACCGAAGCUUUUGGUGCUGCUAGAAAGCGUUCAACCGGCCAGCCAGAUCUAUUGAAUCAACAAGUGGACUCAAUCUCGCGAUCUUAAUCCAUCUAUCACGACCACCCCCAAUGAAACAUCCUGACUAUCCACGGUAAUACUAACUAUCCAUGGUGUAAUAUCCUUACCCCUUUAGAGAAGAACGACUCUCUACUAAAUGGCAUGAUGCCCAUAAAGCGCCCGCCGGUGGCUACUUAUGCCCGGACGUACUGCCCAGCCCAUAGAAAUCCAAGAGAUUACAUAUAUAAUAGAAUAGAACCGAACGAUUGAAGCGUAGAAUAUAACUGAACGAUUGAAGCGGGAAAGCUGGAAAUCCCCUAGAUCUUAUUUCUAUAAUAGAACCCGGUUAAAGCGCUGUUAUUCAAAAGUUGAUGAUUGCUGUGCUGCUUCACUUCAGUCUUUAGCAUCCUUUCCACUAUACGGAUUAGUCCUAACUGCGCUUAUGUAGCAUCUCUGAGAAAACAACCAAAUGUCUUGCUCUUGCCAUGCCAUUGUGAAUGUGCAGUUCCUUCUGCCCAUCCAGAAACCUAUAAAAGAGUGAAAGUUGAUAAUCCAUGCGUUAAGCCUUAAGUCCCAGUCAUGAAGAGGUAGGGUCGGAAAGAGAGUAGUCAAUUCCUUCCUAUAAAGACCCUAUUUCUGUAACAACUUGUAUUCGAUGCUAUUAUAUGUAACUUCACACAAACAACCUAUUUGAAAACAACUUAUUUCCAUCAAGCAAGGAAAGAAAAUGGGGGCAACACUGCCAUUUCCGCGGAUCACAGUACCUAGCAAUAUUCCUAUUCCUAACUGCUCCCCUUUUAGCGUAGGAACAAAAUGGGGUAAUUCCUUUUCGAUAGCACAAGUAUAGGUCUGGUGGGCAUAACUAAUACCUGCCAUCCAUACUCGGAUAAAGGAAAGGGAUCGGAAGGGCCUAUUUAUUCGUUGUCCGUGGGUAUCUUCUACUCCCCGAAAUAAGUUAGGACAGCAAAAUCCCCUCUCUCUCUCUUUAAGGCACCCUGCGGAUUAGUACUUGCUUGAGGUGGAUGCGGCUAGGACUUUUGGACAAAAGAUCAAGCAGGAUAUCUAAACCUUUGCGACGCCAUCUCUUAUGAAAGAGGUUAUUGGGGGAAUAUGAGAUGAGAAGUAGAAAGCGCCUAAGAUAGGAAAUGCUCUUGAAAGAUUCAUCCUACUCGUGUGCGUGGAUAGCUGAACUGUUCGAAGCCUUGUCCCGUAACAUUGGGGCUACGCUGCUAUUUCACGAGUUAAUCUCGCUAGGGCAAUAUGCAACUAAUAGGAAUCUCCUUACCCCAUUGUAUAAAUGGUAAAAAGGAAGUGAAAUGGCAGCAGUCCUAUCAUAUCAUAUCAUAUAAAAGAGAUAUAAAACAAGCAUGACUUAUUUCUUUAUCUUAUCUAUGAUGUUAUUUCUUUCUCGUUGCUAGGUCAGAGUAUUUCUUUAUCUUAUCUAUGAUGUUAUUUCUUUCUCGUUGCUAGGUAAGAGCUAGAAGCCGAAGGAGAGUAGAAGAAAGACGGUUCGACUGCGCCACCUGUGAGAAAUUGGCUAACCCCUCCAUAGGAGAUGAAAUUGGAAAGAAUAAGCACGAGAAGAAAAUCCGUCCUUGGCAACGAAGUGACAAUUCUGCUUAUCAAAGCGAGCAAGGGCUUGUUGCACGGUAAGAGAUAUAGGUUGAGUAAAGCCGAGAAAGAAUCUCAAGAUGGGUUUCGGAAAGUGGAUAGCACUGCUCCAUGGCAAUCAUACUGUGAUUCAUUACCUUAUUUAUUGAUUGAGCGAGGCAUGUUAGCUCUAGGAUGGCUAGAUCACAAGGAAAUUCAGUAGGCUCGGGACUAUUUUCAGGAAGAGUUCUGUCACUGAUGCUAAUAAACCGACUCGCCAGGCGCUAAGGCUGAAGUCAACUUGGAAAAGUCUUCGUUCUUAUCUAUGAAUGCAAAGACCCCGGUCGAAAACAGAUGAAACGUGUUUGUUUCGAUCAGAGAAAUAGACUUAACGUAACUCACAUUCGUUCAUGAUAGGAAGCUAGGUCUCAAUCCAACACAACACUUCCGGGUCUCAAUCAAUCACAUACAUGGAGUCGGACCUAAAGCUUUUACUGUUGAAUCAGUCCGCUCUUCCCUAGAUGGGUUCUUUCGCCUACUCUGCAACCAAUCUUUCUUGCCUAACUAUUUCCCUUUCACUAGUUACAGGAACUACUUACUUAAUGUAGUUAGAAAGCUGUAUGCUAUCUUACGCUAUAACCUCUUCCUACUUAUGAAAUUACUGACUUUCACACCGAUUUAUGUCUAUCCUUUAGCUUGAACCACUACCUGAAGUUCGCUACUGACGUACUUACUCUAUUUACUGGGUCGUGAGCUAAUACCUUGCUAUUAUAAGUUUCUCACUGACUCUUCUUUUUGAUUGAGGAGUAGUAGAAAGGGAAUCCUUAUAUUCUUGGCUCACUCUUUCUCUUUUCCUGUCUUUCUUUGUGAGCUACUUAUAGUUAUGGAUAGCACUUAUCAAUGGACACUUUCAAUUCAUUAUUUCUCUGAAUACUUUUAUAUAUGCAAUUUAUGGCGUUGUUAGGCUGGAGUAAGAGCCAAGAAAAGAAUCAAUCGAAAGCUAGAACAGAAAGCCUUUCCACGAAUAAGAUAAAGGCUAUGGUAAGAGUAAGACAACUGCAAGCACCCUUGCUAGGCCAGACGACUUAAACACAGCGGUCUGAUUCCGAACCCCUGUAAAAUAGAAUAGGGCAACUGCAUGGGACAAAAGAAAAGGAAAGCUAGAAGGGAUGAAAUGACUCGGAGGCGAGGAUCGACAUCAAAAGCUUCUCGGACGGAAACUCUAGCAGGAACUGGCCUUAGGACGAUGGCAGAAGUCGGGAUGGCUGGGAAUAAUCAUAAGAUAACAGAAGCAUAAGAUAACAGAAGUCGGGAUGGCUGGGAAUAAUCAUAACAUAAGAUAAUAUACAUAUCUGGGAAUAAUAAUAAGAUAAUAUAGAUUCAAAGACGUAUCACAAGCUUGGUGAAACAGCCUCUCUCAAAGCAGCUAUAUUGGAAUCCUAUGCUUCUCUGCUAUAUUGGAAUCCAUCUUAUGCUUCUCUUAAAGCAGCAGUCUGUCUUAUCAUCCUCUGAUGGCAGCUUAUGAGAUACUGCACCUACCUCGUUGGUCAAGUAUUCACGCUUCCGUUCUAUUCUUGUGCUGGUUGGUCUUCAAACGCUUGGUAGGAAUAAAGCAAAUAAAGAGUUAGCGAGAAGAGUUUCAACCUCUCUUACAUCCACCAAGCCAUUACAUUAUGAAUUUUCGCAAGCCAGUGUAUAACAUGGGCUGCUGGACAGAGUGCUUCCCUAUAAGAUCUCUUUGAGACUGAAUGCUUUGGGGUUUCCUUUCAAAAGAAAGACAGAUCGGGAAAUUGCUAAAGGUUAACACUCCACUUGCUUUUGUUUUUGCUAUAUAGUUACAUCAGGCUUACUUAGCUACCCCUGAUUCUAUUAGACUGACUUAGCUACCCAUUAUUCUCUGACUUAUACUUAGCUUUGGAACCAAUUAAUUCUCUCAUCCAUUAGACCCCUUACAUAGUUUAAACAGUACGUAUUUAGUAUGUAGGGAAAGGAAGCAUUUCCGUAGGGCAGAUAACAUUAGACCCCUUUGGAGUUUAACCAGAUUGGAUUAUUUAACGGACAAGCGUCGGGCCAUAAAUCCAAGAAUAGAACCGAUGCCAAUAGGACUUGUUCUCAUAUAACUAGGAAAUCGACUACCGAUAGCAAGAACUCAACUCUCAACUCGGAAUCAAGAAACUGAGGGAAGACCUUACAAGCGCAAUAAAGAAUCGAAGUAGUACGUAAAAGAAUACAACUCAAUAGUGCGAGGAUCACUCUGUUACCCUAACACACUCAUCAAUCGGAGUUAAUGAACAUUGAACUGAUUACAAACAGGCUAAGCUAACUGGAACUAAUACCUUAUCUUCUUCCAAUGAAUUGAACUGGCGCUAACAGGACUUAUGCCCUCAACUAAGACUUCCUUUACCGCCCUUGCACCUUGCUUCGCUGUGUCCUUGCCUUUGUCCACUUGCUCUCAAACUUACACUGCCUUAUCUCAUUCUGUAGGUCCGCUACACUUCUCUGGCUCUCGAACGGGGAGUACAGCUAACAGGACUUUAGAUACUAACCAUAAGAAUGGGACUGCUACUGAAAAGAAGCAAACACAUAACUCUGGCUUUCACUACUGAACCCAACUCUUGCUUAUUGCCCUAUUAGCCUGUCGUUGCUUUUCAUUCUGGAACACCCUAGUCUAAUACUAUGCCUUAUUAUAAUGAAUUUACCUAUAGAAUACUAGAAUCCAAUUUCUUAAUGAAACGAAAGAACAAGCAAAUGCUGGAGUUUUUGAAGAAACAAACAAGGCUUUGUCAUUAAAGGAAGCAGUAAGCAGUGAGUUUAGGGGCUAUGGGCUAAUGACUGAAACAGGCAAACAACUUACUUGAGUUUUCGGGGAACAAGCUUAUCGUGUUCAGAGAGGUGGUGUGUAUUAUGAGUUUGUUUUGAAGCAAGUGAUAGAAUUCCAGAAGCAACGAAAUAAGUAAUGAAUGGCAUAAGACAUUGUGUUAACGUAGAGUUCUGGGUGCCCGCCUAUCCUCCUUUAUUGCUGAAAAAAGCUUUGUAGAGCCAAGCAGUAAUAAGUGAGUUUUUCAACAAUGCUCUGUUCGGUUAUCUUAAUAUAUCAGUUGUGCAAGAGAGAUAAAUGAAUGGAUUAUUAUUAUAGAUCUGAGAUCCUUUCUCCAAAUCCUCUUUACUAUGAUAUGAGCAUGAGAUGCAAUUGAAUUGGUUGACUUCACAAAGUCUCAACUCCGCCUUGCCUUGUGUUUCAUGCGAUAGCAGUCAAAAGUAAGGUAUAAUAAUCUUUCUCACCCGCCGGGCCUUCUAGUAAUUCGCUAAAAGAACUCCAAAGCCCCGAAAGAAGAGAAUGGAGCGAGGCCUAAGAGAAUGUGAGUUUGUCGGCCGGCGCAAGACAAGAGAUGGAUUCCUGUACGUACUGUUUUCGCAAGACAAGAGAUGGAUUCCUGUACGUACUGUUUUCCUGGGCGCGCUAGGAGUUUCUAGGUAAAUUCAUGAAUAUAUUGUAUGCGCAAGAGAGAUAGAGAUGGAUUCCAUUCUCUUUCUUGUUAUGGAUAGUUUCCAGAGAUCAAAUCCUAUAUAUAUGUCCUCGAAAAGCAAAGCAAUCUUCUGCGCUGGGAAAGAUCUGAAGCUAUAAGGAUAUCGCUACGUGGGCUUCCAUCUACAAUGACAGCACAAUUCUUUCUGCUUAACAAUCAAUCAAGUAUGGAGCGGGUGCUUACGUCAUAAAUCCAAAAUGAUGUAAGAAAUCCUAAAUGAUGUAUUUGUUGGAGAGAUAUGAAAAUGAGAAACUUCAAGUCGAGGCGAGGUAUACUUCAGUAUAGAGGGAUUCUGGUGUUGUUAGUUCAACAAGUAGAGCUAGGUCUUGGGACUUCAAAGUUGCAUCCCGAGGACUUCAUAUUUGACUCGAGACCUGACAUUGAAGAAUGGAAUCUAGAUGGUUAUUAUAGUAUAGAAAGAAGUCCGUACCGUAACCUGACAGUGAAGCUUUAGCACUUAUUGUAUUGAAUGAAAGUAAGCAUUAAUAAGCUGUAGAAAUGGAGUAUAAGUUGAAGGAGCUUAAGGUUAUACUUCAUAUUUCGGUUCAGAAAGCAGAGUUCGAGCUCAGGGGUAUCUCUCUGUCUGUGUUGGGUAAGUUAAGGGGUAUCUCUCUGUCUGUGUUGGGUAAGUUCCCUUCGAGCAAGGAUCUCAGUUAAGGGAAAAACAGUGUAAAAGUCGUAAAUUGAAGCACGUCAUGGUCCAGUCCAAGCAUCAAAGUUCAGUAGUUGGAGGGGUUCAAAGGCUUCUGACGGCGAGUACUAAGUGGAGAGUAGAGAGGUUCGGGUGCUAGCGUUAAAGAUUCUUCUUUCAAGUAAAUGAGUUCAAUUGUCAGCUGCAAAUCCAAAUGAAAGUCUACAUCGACAACAGAAAUGAAUGCAAAGGCUGCAAGUAAGCGGGAAAGAAAUCAAGUAAGGGCUUCGUUCAUGAGUGUAAUCAUAUGUUGAAGCCGAAUACACCUUUGAGAAUGAAUGCUCACCGGAAUGCUUGGCGCUUGUCAGGUCAUCUGCUAUUCUGAACUUCCUAGAAAUGAUAGAAUGAUCAUAUAGGGUGGAGCCAUACAUAUAACUUGGUAAUCCGUAGCAGGAGUCGGAAAGUCUCUCGCUCGGGCUAAAGUCAGCUGCAAGCGCAAAGGAAAGUCAAGGUGGUCGAGCACUGUAAGCGAGUUCAGUUAUUGGUUUCAAGUCUGCAAUAAAUGAAGCAGUUCUCAAGUCAGCUACAAGCGUGAAAGGUUUCGUUUAGAGUCUUUGUCGUGGAAAGAGAUGAGCUUACUAUUUCGGUUCAUCAAGUUUCGUUCUUGUAUCUAAGUCGACUAUAUCAGUUAUUGGCUACGCGGGGUAAGCGGUGAUUAACUUGAAGUUUCGGUUAAGGUUAGUUCGGCUAAAGUCCAAGUUUCAAAAGCAUUCUUUUCCCUCGGAUCAAGACGUGGUGCGCGAACGGGAGUUGUUGACAAUGAAAGUUCCCUACUUAAAGUAGAGUCAAAUCCACCAGUCAAACAAAACUCGGAAUUGUACUUACCCGCUUCAGAUCUUUAUACGGCCACUGAUCCAACAGAUGAUGAUUCUUCUCGUAACUUAACUUAUUCGUCUCCUGCAACAGAUCUGGAUAAGGCUUCUAAUCCUGUUUCCGCUUCUGCUUUAGCUGAUUCUUCUUAGUAAUAGUACGAUUCCACUCUCUAUACUAGAGCCCCCAUCUUUCUUCAAUUCUUCAAUGAAACAAACCGGAUCUUGAUCCAUCUUCUUUACCAGCUUCCUCUGUUACUCUUGAUCUAUCUGAUGAUCCUGCUCUACCUAACCCGGAAACCAGAAGUUCUUUACUUGUUACGAAGGGAAGCAGUGGGAGUAGAAUUCAUGGGUUUUGGCAAUUCCGGUAGUUUCGUUCGGGUCAAGCCAAGUGAUAGGGCAGGAGGUGCAAGCCAAGUUCAAAGAACUAUAGGAGCAAAGCCAAGUUCAAGGGAGCAGCGAGGGUAAAGUCAACAGUCAGUUUAGGAGUGUAGCACCGGAGACAAAGUCAAUGCAAGCGGUUCUUCAAGUUCCAUUUCCUUUCUGGUUCUUGUUUUGUCAUAUAUAGAAGCCGAGACAGAAUGCUUAGGCAAAAGUGCUGUAGCAAGCAGGUAAUCUGAAAGUGGAACAAACAACUGGCUUUCACACUCGAUUGAGAGUUCCGGGCAGAAUUAUGUAAAGGCUUUGAUGCCCUAAAGGGAGCUAGGAGAAUAGAGAAAGAAGGGAGCUAAGCUAGUGUAAUAGAGAAAGAAGGGAGCUAGGCUAGGAGAAUAGAGAAAGAAGGGAGCUAGUGUAAUAGAGAAGGGAGCGGCUGCCCCGGAUAAGCUAAACGAGUAUUCUAACGAGCCCUGCUGCACUGCUAUUGUCUGGUAGGGGAAGCAAAGGGCUAACAUAUGUACGUACGAGUUAAGUUACUCCUUUCUAUAAUAGUAAUAUAGUUGCACUAAAUAAAACAAGCGAGUUUAGGUUUAGUUCGCCGGGGUGCUAAGGGGUACGGUGCCUCUAUUCGUGAUUAAGGCAAACAGUGAGUACCGUAUAUUAGUAGUAAUGUUAUGCUCUUAUCUCAAUGUAAGUGCAAAUGAUUUUCAACAAAAGUAACAGAGUGAGUAACGCUAGCAAAAAGCCGUAUCGCACAACAGAACAAUAAAGAAUAGGAAGAGCAAAGCAGUGAGUCGGAGCGGUUUCAAUGGCAUUCAUAACUUCAAGGAGAGGCUCUUAUUGUAAGUUCGCUAAGCAAGAAAGAUUACUGUUUGGUUUGACUGAACACGAAGACUCAACUGGCCCAGGCCCAACAAGAGUAAGUGCGCUAACAGGAGUUUUUUACAGUUCCGUUUAUAGGUAAAUAGGAGAAUAAGCAAGAUCAUAACCUAGAUAAUCUACAGGAACAAGCCGAUAACGAUCAGAUUCCAAAGAAAGGGAUUCAGUACGGGUGAAGUCUCCGAGAUCAGAAAGGUUUUUAGUGUAUUUACUUAGAUCUAUACAAAGUGUUCGAGAAGAGAGGCAGAGUUGAGAGAACAAGCCAGGGGUCUAUUGGAGGUAGUUGACAGAGCCUAGCCUGUAGUUGGUGAGUUUCAUCCGAAAUGUAAUCCUAUAGAAAGAUCCAUAAUAUGAGAAAGUUCUUUUACAAGUCUAGGUUUUGGUGAACCAACCCAGUACUCUUUCACCCCAUUAAUUAAGGGCACAGGACAAUUCAGUUAGAUGAGAUGGAAAGGUAUUGAUGCCUACCUAUUGCAUGAUCAACUGCUGAAGUCAAGUAUCCGAAGAAGCAACUAAGAAUAAUUUCAUUCCUUCCCAUAUAGAAGCAGUGCUAAAGAAGCAAGUAAGAAGGGCAAGACUCCUUAAGAUGUGACCAAUACCCGAGGCCCCAUAUGACCAGUAAGAUAGAAUCCAAUCCGGUAACUAACCAAACCCAGUACUUGACUUCUUUCUUGACUUCAACUUAUGCUCUUUGAACAAGGGCGAAAUUCUUCUUAGUAGUUCAUUCCUCCUGACUGAGAGGGGCAAGCAGUAAGGAGUGAGGUUAAAGCAUCAUAGUCGAGGUGGGCAAGGUUUACAAUAAGUCCUUUGUUCAGCAAGCGGGUAUCUCGGGCUAAAGUCAGCUACCGGGCUAUUCAAUUAGUAGGCGUCAAUGCACUAUAACAUCACUUCUGGGGUUUGAUGGUCAAUCACAUUAAAAACAGAUAUGGAUUAGAAAUAAUGCAUUUCAAUCCUAUAAAACAUGGGCAAGAGAACCAGUGGAAUUCUUUUUCUUUCUUGUUUCAUUCUACUUAUACUAAUACUUAGAAGCGGUCUUCUACUCUGCAACUAAGAAGAAGGGAGAAGAAUAAUCAUAAGGGAUAAGAAGAGGAUUGAGCUAUGAAGUCAUUGAUACCUGUAUUAUAUAUAACUCCUAACUCGAAACUCCUAAUACUUUCUUUUAAAUACUAUAACUCCGGUGCCAGUUUUCUUCUUUAAUGCCGGUUUCAUCCCCGCCAAGUAACUACUAGACAAGACACUGCUUCUUUUAUCGUAGACAACACUAGAACUUCACCUUUGUAGUGGGCAUGAGAUUAGAGCUAGAUGAGAUGAGGCUGAAAGUGCAACUUAUUCUCGGCUUCUGGUACUCUCCUUUCUACUUCAACUGAUCCUGAUCCAGCUUAUUCGACUGCAUCCGCUGACUCGUCACUUUCAGAAUUGACUGAACUUGUUGCUCCUGACUCCACUAAUACGGAUACUGAUGUUUCGAGUGCCAAUGGAGCUCCCCCGGAUCUUGCUGCCUCACCGGAUACGGCGGAUUCUCUAUACGCCAACUAAGGUCAAUCAAGCCAAUCUGCUUCCUUUACACCAAAGCAAACUGCGGAUUCUAUCAACUCUCCGGAAACUGGAAUGGAAUCUAUUGGCGAGUCCACAAAUAAAUCAUCUCUCUCGGCAAGAACCUAUAUUGGUGAUUCCAUUGAGAAAGCUUCUGCACUUGCUUAUGGAGUUAAGGGGCGGGGUGCUUAUUCCAUUGAUUCUCACUUUCCGGGAGGUAAUACUAACUCUGGCUUGGGAACCUGCGAUUCUCUUACGCCCCACUUCCUCAAAUUAUGAUAUAUAUAACCAUUAUUCUAUGACUUAGCUUUUGCACCAAUGAUUCUCAUUCCUAAAGUAGCACUACAACUUCUGAAAGUAACAUAGCUCGUUAUUAAGGUAGCAUCACCUAUUCUGUGAGUGGUAAUUCACUCGUUCUGUGAGCGUAACAUUAACUCAUUUAUUUUCAUAUGUUGUGUUGCGCGUCCUCAGUCUGUUAGCGGCUAUUCCCUCCCUCGGUCUUCGGGCGAAACAUCGAAUGUCAUCGAGUGUCUUCGCUCAUUCACCCAUGCUUAGAAGGUACAUUGCACAUGCUUAGAAGGUCCAUUGCUUUCCCUUUUGAUGCUUAUAACAGUCAGUUCGAUUAUGUCUCCCCGUCCUGGGUCCCUAACGAGAAAAGGCUUAUGCAGAGUAUGGUUUAGAAGAAAGCAAAGUGGUAUAAGUUUUCAACAAGGGGAUAGGGAAGUGCAAUAAGCUAUACGGAACGAAACCACCCAACUAUAUUCUGGUUUGUAUUAAUAGAAAUGUAUUAAUAGAAAAACCACCACUAUACUCUCUUUGGACAGCGCCGAUGCUAUUCUUGCUUUUGUUUGGCAGUGCUUCUUAUAAGAUAGUUUACUCAGUGCCAAUUCUAUUACUGAGCUCUGGAAUCUAUAGCACGACCUACUAUAUAAUAAUAAUAUAAUAAAUGCUAACUAUCAAGUAAGAAUCAACUAAUACUAUUGGAAUGGAACUGGGAAUUAAGACACCUAUAACGAAUGAAACGAGUACUAAUAGGAAUGAAACAAUCAAUACGGGCUUAAGGAAUGAGCUCGACAAGCAACGGACCAAGCUUAGUUUAGUAUAGACAAGCAACGGCAACUAUAAGAAUAGAACUUCUACAGAUGAUACUUUAACAGCUUACCAACAGGGCUUAUGCUCAACACUAGGGCUUUUCACUGGAAAUGUAGGUUAAUAACAGGCUCGAACUGGCGACUACCUUACUUUUACUCAUAACUCGGGCUACAACUCAUAACUAAGGCCCCGGCUACAGCUUCUUUAAACUCAGGCUUCGGCUACAGCUUUUAGAGCUCAGCUCUUUAACUCAGAAGUAAGGCUGGCACUGCCUACUAAAAGCAUUAACUCAACACUCAUUCUUAUACUCCUUGCAAAAGUCUGCCUCUGUGGGCGCAUACUCUACCUUCUACUCUUAAAGUGGAGUGUAAGCCUUCUAAUUGCAAGUUUCAAACUGGCUGGCUCCUGUCCUGCGUGGACCAAAUCCGUAUUCUAUUUGGUCGCUUCAGUCCUGCUUGUUGGUUUUAUAGCCUCCCUCCUUUGGGUACCCAACUAAGAUGGGGCAGAAUGAACUCAACAGUCAAAGAACUCAACACAGUAGUAAUGAGCACCAAGCGCAUGGGGUCAGAAGUCAACUCAUUAGUCUCAGUGGCUUUUUCCUCUACUUUGGAACUCAGACUUUCACUCAUAAGUCGAAAUGGAACUAGUGCUUCUAAUAUGAUAACUUUGAACUGGGCUCUAAACUACUCCUUUUGCCGGGUCUGCUCUUCAUUCUCAUACUAGAACCUUGCUUUCUCACUUAUCAGUCACCAAGCAACUACUAAUGACCAAGCCACUACUAACCAAACAACGGCGCAAGACGUUGAGCGGUAGCAAUAGUAAUAGAUAUAACAAAGUUAUUACAAUAGAUGUGUUCUGGGCGGUAGGAGGAAGUGAGCUAAACGUUAGCGAGUCCGGGGCCUGACUAGUCCAAUUCUCACUUUGGUAACACCUACUUCUAUUCUAACUGCUGUCAUUGUACUAGAGCAUCGGAGACUCGGGGGGAAUGUAGCUGCUUCUUUAAGGCUUCUACUUACUAGUUGGAUUCUGAGUCUUAUACUAGAUGCUUACUACUAGCAGCGGAGGCCCAGGACUACUAGACUUAACGAGCACCUCCAACUGGUAUGAAACAAAUUCCACUUCACGAAACCCGUGUUUUUGGGUAGCAACCCUGUUUUCGCUAAUAGACCCAUGAAAAAGAGAUAGAAUUUCAUGAAAACCCGUUAAACAACACUGCCGCGUAACAUUCUGUUCCUUGGCGGGUAGCAUUGGAGUUUUCCUUCCUGAGUGCCCAGAUUGAAAUGGCCAAGACACUCGGAGACAACUACAAUAAGAAACAACAUAAGGUAUAUUUAUGAUGAGCUAUGCCUUAAGAUGUGUUCAGGCGCGGCAGCCCAAUAAUAGUUAUAACGAAGUUAUUACAAUAGAUGUUUUCGUUGCGUUUUCCCGUGUUUUUUGGUUGUAAAUGGAUUUCCCUUCCUGAGGCACCUGAUGGAAAUUACAAUUUCACGUUUUCCCGGGAUUUUUCAUAGCAAAUAGAAUUUCCCUCCUGAGCCGGUCCAUUGAAAUGAGAUUUUUUACGAAACACGGUAAACAGCGCUGCCGCGUAACAUUAGCAGUUACUUGGCUCAUAGCAAAUGGGGAAAUAGUAUGGUACUUCACUUAGGCUUCCACUCGGUAUUCAACUAUAGUACCGACCUCGACUCACCAGACUUAAGAACCAACACCCUACUUUAGAACCAGAGCUGGGGCAGUACCACCAGGAGCUGUACUCAAGGGAGCAGUACUAAAGGGAUGGGAUGAAACUCUAACUCGACAAACAAGAACAGCCCCGAUUGCAGCUGGCUCUUCCAAACUAUCCCUAGCUACUUUCCUAGACUUAACUAACACAACACAAUAUCCUCUUGGGCUUCUUCUCCUGGAACUGUCACUGUAACAGGAAUAGGACAAAUACUAUAAUCAUAAGGGCCUUAUAGUAAUUUGGGAGCUACACUAAGAAUUCCACUAUCAACUCUAAACUCNNNNNNNNNNNNNNNNNNNNNNNNNNNNNNNNNNNNNNNNNNNNNNNNNNNNNNNNNNNNNNNNNNNNNNNNNNNNNNNNNNNNNNNNNNNNNNNNNNNNNNNNNNNNNNNNNNNNNNNNNNNNNNNNNNNNNNNNNNNNNNNNNNNNNNNNNNNNNNNNNNNNNNNNNNNNNNNNNNNNNNNNNNNNNNNNNNNNNNNNNNNNNNNNNNNNNNNNNNNNNNNNNNNNNNNNNNNNNNNNNNNNNNNNNNNNNNNNNNNNNNNNNNNNNNNNNNNNNNNNNNNNNNNNNNNNNNNNNNNNNNNNNNNNNNNNNNNNNNNNNNNNNNNNNNNNNNNNNNNNNNNNNNNNNNNNNNNNNNNNNNNNNNNNNNNNNNNNNNNNNNNNNNNNNNNNNNNNNNNNNNNNNNNNNNNNNNNNNNNNNNNNNNNNNNNNNNNNNNNNNNNNNNNNNNNNNNNNNNNNNNNNNNNNNNNNNNNNNNNNNNNNNNNNNNNNNNNNNNNNNNNNNNNNNNNNNNNNNNNNNNNNNNNNNNNNNNNNNNNNNNNNNNNNNNNNNNNNNNNNNNNNNNNNNNNNNNNNNNNNNNNNNNNNNNNNNNNNNNNNNNNNNNNNNNNNNNNNNNNNNNNNNNNNNNNNNNNNNNNNNNNNNNNNNNNNNNNNNNNNNNNNNNNNNNNNNNNNNNNNNNNNNCAAUCUAGUUUCCUUAAUAAAGAUAGAGAAAAUUAUCCACUCGCCAAGUCACUCCUAAUGUGUAGCGGCAGUGAGCUACCCCCUACUAUGUCUGUACUGAAUAGAUACAUAAGAAAUUGUAAGACUUUUCUUGAUUAUUUGUGAUUUGAGAAUUUGUGAUUGGAUUGUUUUGAUCAUUUCUUUGAUACUUGAAAAAAGGCUCCUCUCCUAUACUACUCCUCUGUAAACUAACCACUCCUACUUAAUAUAAGGGCAGCUAAAUCCAUUCCUUUCUCAAGAAUUCCACUAGCUACUCUUAACUACUGGCAAAUCAUGCAACAGGGGAUUACACUCUCACUGGAGCAGUACUCAAGGUCUUACACUCUAACUCACAACUAGGAGCUCUCAAUCCGGUCUUCAACUAGCCAAUAACCUACUACUCGGGAAAGCUAUCAAACUGGAAUGUCAAUUUACUUAGACACAAGCAACUCUGAUCCUUAUGAAAGACAAUCAUAUCAAUCAGAGCAUUCUCUACGGUAACCGGAUGACGAAAACCAGACUUGCUACAGGCAACGUACUCACGCCGACGACUGACGAAAACAGAAAUGGAAUUUCCAGAGAUAUAUAUAAGACUCAAUUCUCAUAGAUAUAUAUAAGAUCAUAUGGAAAUGGAAUUCUUCACAGAAGGGAUCGGUGUUUUAAAGAAGAUGGAUUUCUUAUUUGAUGCUUUACCAGUUUUACCAGCUUUACCUGCUUACAGCCUAUUACUUGUAGUACCUGCGGAAUAGGUUAUUUUCGAAAGGGAACCUUCUCAGAAAGAGUCAUUUCCUAACUUGUAGCUCGGUUUCCUUUGAAGUAAAGUUGGCAUGGCACGCACGAGUCUUCUUUAAUAUAAUGGCCCACUUUGGCUUUAGCCGGAUCUUCGGAGGCAGAAAAAGGUAACUGAGACUCUCUUUAGCAACUGUUGUGCUACUUCUUGAGUCUAUUCUUUCAUUUCUUUUUGUUCUAGCUUAGCUUUCCAAAUGAAACCUACACUCUCUACUCAUGUCAUGAAGCGCUUGUAAAGACUCCUUUGUCACUGGACAUGCACUAUUGAUUAAUUCUCACUACUAGUAGUAAUAAGAGUGUCUAUAUGGGAGUAAUAAGAGUGUCUAUAUGGAACCUUGAAAGGUGUAACAAUAAAUGGACCUAACUACUAGCUCAUAACUCUAAGGAAAGCAUAGUUAGGAACGGUUCACAAGAUGGAAACAAUGGGCCAAGCCCACAAGACACUCAAGCACAACAUAAAUAAGAAAAACAACAUAAAGUGUUUUGUUUGUUCUCUGACUUUCCAUUCCUACUAAGAGCACUGGGUUAGUUGCCCUAAUCUAUGAGACCCCUUUUCUCCGGCGAUACUAUACCCCUUUUAUCCGGCUCAUUCAUCUAUAUUCUUGUUUGCAAUGUAAAGGAAGAAGAGGCUCUUAGCACCUCGGUGCCGUGCCCUAAACAGAAGAGAGUUUCCUCAGUGCCCCCCCAGUUCUCCAUUCUGACUUGAUAGUUUCCUCAGUGCCAAUUCCUUUCUUAGUUUUUGUUGAGAGGUGACUUCUGACUUUAUUAUGAGAUUAUUCUAGCAGACGUCGAAUCUCUAUCUUACUACUCUUAUGACUUGACUCUUAUAUCUAUUAUUCUUGCAGACCUAGCUCAGCACUCUGGUUAUGACCUUCCAGUUGAAUACUUAUCAAGAGAACUAGGUUGCUUGGCGG
rnacentral:lncRNA from 1 species